rnacentral:tRNA from 1 species
GCGGGGUAGCUCAGUUGGUUAGAGCAGAGGAAUCAUAAUCCUUGUGUCGGGGGUUCAAAUCCCUCCCUCGC